UGGGGAAUAUUGCACAAUGGUGGGAACUCUGAUGCAGCGACGCCGCGUGAACGAAGAAGGCUUUCGAGUCGUAAAGUUCUUUUAUAUGGGAAGAUAAUGACGGUACCAUAAGAAAAAGCCCCGGCUAACUUCGUGCCAGCAGCCGCGGUAAUACGUAGGGGGCUAGCGUUGUCCGGAAUUACUGGGCGUAAAGGGUUCGUAGGCGGAAAUGCAAGUCAGGUGUAAAAGGCAGUAGCUUAACUACUGUAAGCAUUUGAAACUGCAUAUCUUGAGAAGGGUAGAGGUAAGUGGAAUUUUUAGUGUAGCGGUGAAAUGCGUAGAUAUUAAAAAGAAUACCGGUGGCGAAGGCGACUUACUGGGCUCAUUCUGACGCUGAGGAACGAAAGCGUGGGUAGCAAACAGG
rnacentral:rRNA from 1 species